rnacentral:rRNA from 1 species
UACGGAGGGUGCAAGCGUUGUCCGGAUUUAUUGGGUUUAAAGGGUGCGUAGGCGGGUUAUUAAGUCAGUGGUGAAAGUCUGCGGCUCAACCGCAGGAGUGCCAUUGAUACUGGUAGUCUUGAGUACAGUAGAGGUAGGCGGAAUUUAUGGUGUAGCGGUGAAAUGCAUAGAUACCAUAAAGAACACCGAUAGCGUAGGCAGCUUACUAUGCUGUAACUGACGCUGAGGAACGAAAGCGUGGGGAUCGAACAGG